rnacentral:rRNA from 1 species
GACAGAGGUCCCAAGCGUUAGGCGGAAUCACUGGGCUUAAAGCGUGUGUAGGCGGAUUUGUAAGUACCUUGUGAAAUCCCACGGCUCAACCGUGGAACUGCUUGGUAUACUGCUUAUCUUGGGCCAUCUAGGGGCGAGCGGAACAAACGGUGGAGCGGUGAAAUGCGUAGAUAUCGUUUGGAACGCCAAUGGUGAAAACAGCUCGCUGGGGAUGUGCCGACGCUGAGAUACGAAAGCCAGGGGAGCGAACGGG